GAUGAACGCUGACAGAAUGCUUAACACAUGCAAGUCUACUUGAAUUUGGGUUUUUUAACUUAGAUCUGGGUGGCGGACGGGUGAGUAACGCGUAAAGAACUUGCCUCACAGCUAGGGACAACAUUUGGAAACGAAUGCUAAUCCCUGAUAUUAUGAUUAUAAGGCAUCUUAGAAUUAUGAAAGCUAUAUGCGCUGUGAGAGAGCUUUGCGUCCCAUUAGCUAGUUGGAGAGGUAACGGCUCACCAAGGCGAUGAUGGGUAGCCGGCCUGAGAGGGUGAACGGCCACGAGGGGACUGAGACACGGCACUUACUCAUAUGGGAGGCAGGGGGGAGGAAUAUUGGACAAAGGACCAAUAGUCUGUGCCAGCAAUCCGGUGUGCACGAUGACGUUUUUCGGAAUGAAAAGUGCUUUCAGUUGGGAAGAAAAAAAUGACGUAACCAACAGAAGAAGAGACGGCGAAAUACGG
rnacentral:rRNA from 1 species